rnacentral:ribozyme from 1 species
AGGAAGGAAGGAAGGAACGAAGGAAGGAAUAAAGACAAACAGAAAAAGCGGAUAAGGCCGAUGUUGAGUCCUUCAUGGUCUCUUUCCUGAUUUGCUUCUGUUUCUUGCGGCCACUUUGUCCUUGAUUGACUCAGUAGAGAAAAAGGAAGAGAGAGGGGGGAGAGGACUACAGAGAUAUGCGAAUAAGGAGGACUACAGAGUUUUGUU